rnacentral:tRNA from 1 species
GCGGGUGUGGUUCAAUGGUAGAACGUGAGCUUCCCAAGCUUGAAAUACGGGUUCGAUUCCCGUCACCCGUA